GACGAACGCUGGCGGCGUGCCUAAUACAUGCAAGUAGAACGCUGAAGAGAGGAGCUUGCUCUUCUUGGAUGAGUUGCGAACGGGUGAGUAACGCGUAGGUAACCUGCCUUGUAGCGGGGGAUAACUAUUGGAAACGAUAGCUAAUACCGCAUAACAAUGGAUGACACAUGUCAUUUAUUUGAAAGGGGCAAUUGCUCCACUACAAGAUGGACCUGCGUUGUAUUAGCUAGUAGGUGAGGUAAUGGCUCACCUAGGCGACGAUACAUAGCCGACCUGAGAGGGUGAUCGGCCACACUGGGACUGAGACACGGCCCAGACUCCUACGGGAGGCAGCAGUAGGGAAUCCUCGGCAAUGGGGGCAACCCUGACCGAGCAACGCCGCGUGAGUGAAGAAGGUUUUCGGAUCGUAAAGCUCUGUUGUAAGUCAAGAACGGGUGUGAGAGUGGAAAGUUCACACUGUGACGGUAGCUUACCAGAAAGGGACGGCUAACUACGUG
rnacentral:rRNA from 1 species